rnacentral:rRNA from 1 species
UACGGGGGGGAGCAAGCGUUGUUCGGAUUUACUGGGCGUAAAGGGCGCGUAGGCGGCCACCGCAAGUCGACUGUGAAAUCUCCGAGCUUAACUCGGAAAGGUCAACUGAUACUGCGGGGCUAGAGUGCGGAAGGGGCAACUGGAAUUCUUGGUGUAGCGGUGAAAUGCGUAGAUAUCAAGUGGAACACCGUGGCGGAAGGCGGUGCUGCGGACAUUCCUGACGCUGAGGCACGAAAAGC